GGCAGGGCCAACUGUGUCAACUGUGCGGUCUGCUCACAGCCCACCUGAUGAGCAGAACAGAAAUACUGGGGAACCGUCUCAUGUUGAGAGUGAGGGUUUUAACAGUAGGACUGUAGCCUAUGGAAGAAGGUGACCCAGCCCUGCCCGCUCCUGACGAGGCUGGUUGUGGAGAACUCGGCCCCCUCCGUCUGGUUCCUCCCGCCUGAGGAACUCCGCAGUCGGACCCAGCUGCUCCUGAGCCCUCCCGAAGAGCUCACUCUCUUCUGCUGUCCAGAAGAUCUCGGAAUUCUCUGCUGUCCCGGACACACUGCGUAUGACCUGACCACAGUUCCUAGGUGCAGGGGGAGAAGGCUGUGCCAAAAGGUGACUUUAUUUGGAGUUUCCAUCCUAAUUCUGACCACACACAGAACAGCCUUCACCAAAGUAUGGGCCUGUGAGCAAAAGCCAGCCCACUGCCUGUUUUCAUAUAGCCUGGGUGCUAAGAAUGGUUUCACAUUUUUAAAAAAUGAUUAUUUUAAAAAAGCAAGAAUGUUUCAUGACACAUGGAAAUGAUGUGAAAUUCACAUUUUAGUACCCAUAAAUAUAAAGAAUUAAGGACAGAACUUCAGGGAACAUCAGUAGAGAUCAGCUGAAAGGGGUCCAGUCCUUGAGGGAGAGCAGCAGGAGAGGCCUGAGAAGCGUGGGGGGCGGAGGCAGGGCAGAGCCGAGCCUUGUUCACGAUGUUUUCCUGGCAGCCAGAGAGGCUUUCUAUCUGUUCUUCACAGAAAGUUUGCAGACUCUGGUUUAGAAUUCCAGGUGGGUGGCUGGGGUUGUGGCUCCCAGAUAGAAUGCUUGUCUAGGGUGUGUGAGCGCUGGGUUCCACCUCCAGAACUGUAAGUAGGAGGAGGCUGUGUAGAGCAGCAGAUGAGCUGUGUGCUGUGGGUCCCUCCUGUAGAGGGCAAGCCAUCUCCAGACUGUACCCCUGCCCUGAAACUGUCUCCUCAGACAGAGGCCUAUAAACAGGCACACCACACAUUGCUGUUCCACACUCAGAAGCUCUUAGUGUUGUUUUGUUCUGCAUUUGGCUUCAGUCACUACUGGGAGGCAUUGAAAUAGGGCGCAGUUUGGCAUGUCUCAGAAACACUGACCGGACCAUGUGAACAAAGACGAAUUGCUUGGGUUACUUAAUUGCUGCAUUAGAUCUUCCUCACUGCCUCCCCCCUCCCCCCUUUCUUUUCUCUAUCAAACUUGAAGCAUACACAGCAACAGUUUCAUCCUCACCUCCCACUCCUCAGCCCACCACAAUCUGGAGUUGACUCCUACUACAAUCCAGAGGGUGUUCUCAGUCAUGUAUCCUCCAACUUGUAAUUGCCAGAUCUGACCCUCCUCAGCCCUCCUGCAUUCAGGGUGGCGCUGGGUAAUGCCGGCUUCACCCCCACAAGCUUCUCUCACCUGCUGCUGCCCUGUUCCUCUCCCCAGGUGCUCCCGGCACUGCCAGAUUCUCGGGGAUUGGCAGUGGGAGUUCUCUCUCUCUCUCUCUCUGCUGCACCCACCCUCCAGGACUAGGUCCCCCCUGGCUUUCCUGGCUGUCUUCCCUGCAGAUUCUGCCAGCAGGAGGCACUGGCAAAAGAUGGAAGGAAAACCUAGAAACUUCCUGCUUCAGUCUCCAACCUGGUGAUUGACCGUUGUGGCCCUUGGUGGUGGUGGUAGCCACGCCAGGAAUCUGGACAACAGCCUCCUGGGAGAAGCUCCUUCUUCAGGAUCCUGUGCCUGGUGGCAGCUUCUCAGCACAUGUCUCCACAGGGCGACUGCAGGUGUGGACAGAGCUCUGGCUCAGGCUGGGGCAGUGUCCGAUCCCACACACCCAUCUCCUCUAGCUGCACCUGCCGGCAGCCUCCCCCUUGUGACACCUUAACAUCUUUGAAACUGACUUUAUAGACGGGUACUCUCAGCCUAGCAUGCUUGAAUCCCAGCUCUGGGAGGCUAAGGCUGCUCUGCUGGGAGUUUGAGGCCAGCCUGAACUCCAGGCGUGGCUCAGUUUCCUGCCUGGGCCCUGGGUGUUGGCUGAUGAGGUUGGACCCCUGCAGGCCUGUGUCUUUUUUUGUCUGACCUCUUUCACCUUUGGCAUAGUCUACUUGGUGAUUUAACCCUCUGCUUCAUCCUGUGUGCUCACAGCUCCCCAAAUCAGACUCACCAUCCACACCGGGGAUCCACCUCCAUCCACCUCACCGCCUCUGUGGGCUGUUCCACAGCACCCUAAAUUUAACACAUUUAAGACCAUAUUUAUUCUCUUUGUCCCCCUCCUCUUCCUCUCUGUCUUCCUCCCCCUCCCUUCCCCCUUGCCUCCUCCAACCCAGGGCCUCACACAUCCUAGACAAGUGCUUUGCCACUGAACUACAGCCUUCCCAGCACACGUACAUUUUUCUGAGGCAGGUUCUCAAUGAGUUACUCAAGCUGGCCUUGAACUCACUCUGUAGCCUCACCUUGAACUUGCGGUCUCGUACUGCAGGCUCCCGAGGAGCUGGGGUUGCAGGUGUGCCCCACCAGGCCCUGAGUGCUCAGUAGCCCGACCCUUCGGCUCCUACCGCCUCCCCAUCUCAGUGUCCUAGCACAUUUCCCUUGGUUCUGGGACCUCCUUGUCCCCAGCUGCUGGGGUACAAGGCUGCACUGACAUCUGUGCUCUAGACCCUUGGCCGUGGUUUUAGUUUUCCUCAAGCUCCAGUUGUUUGAGAUAUCAGAAUAGUCACUCAGAAAUGAUAGAGUUGGCUGGUUGUGGUGGCACACUCCUUUAGUCCCAGCACUCUGGGUUUCUAUGGGUUCAAAGCCAGCCUGGUCUACAGAGUGAAUUCCAGGCCAGCUAAGGCUACACAGUGAGACUUUCUCUCAAAAUAAUAAUAAUAAUAAUGAUGAUGAUGAUGAUGAUGAUGAUGAUGUUAUUUUGUAUCAUGCCCUGGUUUUUUGCCCAUCCAAUCAUCCAUCCAUCCAUCCAUCCAUCUAUCUGUCUUGCCACACUGGGCAUUGAGCUCAGUGCCUGCACGUACUAAGCAAGGACUUUCCACUGAGUUACAUCCAUCCCCAGCAUGUUCCCUAGUGUUGACGUCAGUGUUACCGACUGUGUCAGGCAGGCCCCUUUGUGCUGUGUCAAAGCCUGUGUGGCAGCUCUUGCCUGGAUUUCUAGUGUAUCACAAUGUGCCUCAUCACCAUGGGAACUUGUGGGCACCCUGUACAGCCUUUCCUGUCAACGUCACCGAGGCUGCAGAGGAGUUGCGAUGCCUUUGACCCUCAUGUACCUGCCUCACCCCUCCCUGGAAUGCUUUUCUCUUCUCUCACAAUCUGGUCAAAUUGAUUUUCCUUCACGUCUCUUAUGUCAGGUCCUCUUGCUAUUGCUGUGAAAAAUACUUAACAAAGCAACGUAAGGAGGAAGGGCUGGCUGUGGCUCCGCCUGAGGGGACAGCCCAUGAUGGUGGGAAAGUUAUAGCCUCGAGUGAGGGUGGCUGGCUGUGGUGUACAUGGAGUCAAGAAGCAGACAGGAACACUGA